UCUGAUCUGAUGAAGAAACAAACUCAUCUAUAUCUUGGAGGGCCUGAGGGAGCACCUGUAUCCUAGCCACGUCAGAGACUGGAUCACCAGUUCUUCAUGCGAAGGGAAAGGUCAGUUUAUGUGGGACUC
rnacentral:lncRNA from 12 species